ensembl:lncRNA
GCAAGAUGUGGAGCAGGGUGGAUGCAGAGUGGUUCCGGCGAGGUCAGCUGCAGGGAGGAAAGACAGCGAAGGUGAACGCGUGUUCAGACUCUCAUGAGCAAAUCUUGCAGGUGCAAGGAAUCCAGACAGCUAAAAUGGCUAGCGUGUACAAGAAGCAGGAAGCAGGGAGCAAACUGAGACACAAAAUGGUAACCUCACGUUGGUUCUCUUUUCACCAACAGCAACUUGACUCCACUGAAGUCGUUUGAGGGUCUGUGGAACCAUCUGAGGAGAGGUCAGAAGGAACAGGUCCAAUAGAAGCAUCUGUGUCUGUGAGAGAAGAUUGGAACAUCUGGAUCCAGAGAUCACUUCUCUGGAGCUGUCCUGGGUGUAGAGAUCUAUGGAAUCCCAGGUGGGAGACAGGAGUUGUUGGUAAGCUCUACUAGAAAAAUCAAGCCGGGAUUCCAAUAAGCACUAUCCACAUUCAGAGAAAAUAUGUCUCAACUGUCCAACCUCUAGAUAUCAGGAAGGUACAAAUCAAACUACUAAUCAGUUCCUGUCACAGGAUUACCAGCUGCUGUCCACUGAGGGGCCGGAUGCGAACAUUUACCAAGAGGAGCCUGAUGGUGAAAGUCAGUGGUACCCCGACACUGAUGACACCCCAAGACAGUAGGAAGUAGCCUGAGACACAGUGCCCCUCUCUCCCUUUCACCAUCAGCUUCCCCCUCCCUUCCCCCCCCCCCCUUCUUUUUAUGCUAAGAAAAAGGGAAGUAUGUUGGUAUCAGGAAUUGCCUUUACCUCCAACAGCGACACCGGUUGGUCACUGUUGCCAUGGCAACGGCCGUACAUUCCCAGUGUUCCUUUAGUUUAAUUCCCACCUCCAUCUGGGAGUAGUUACCUCACAUUCCAAAUAAAAGGCAGCCCUCUUCUGCCCUCCUUCUCUUCCUCUUCUUUCUCUCGAUCCUUCCCCUUGUCUCGUUCUCCCAUUAAAUCUCUCCACGUGGAACUGUGUUGGUUUGGUGUGCUCUAUCUGGACGGGC